GUAAUUGAAGGUUGCGGGUUCACCCGUAAAGCUUAUAUCUUACAAUCUUUAUAGAAAAUAAGUAUCGUGAGAGAACGGUGAAAAAAAAUCUGAGAAAGAAUUGAAAAAUUCUGAAAUUUAAUGCACACAGCAGUUGAUGUGGUAUAAUAUCAACGUACCUUUGCAUAAUGUUCUAGCUAGUUUAUUAAAAUAGCGAGCUUAAUAAAAAAUUAAGCGUAUUGAAAAAAUGAUAGUUAUUUUAAUAAGACCCGAAGCUAAGCGAUCUAAUUAUGGACAGGCUAAAAUAAAAAAUUUGAGGGCCGAACCUGUGAAUGUUGCAAAAUUCUAGGAGGAUCUGUAAUUAGGGGUGAAAGGCUAAUCAAGCUUAGUGAUAGCUGGUUUUCCGCGAAACCUAUGGACGUAGGGGUUAUUUUUUAGGUAGUGUGGUAAAGAAAACUUAUGGGGAUUUUAUCAAAAAAACCUAUUUGAACCUUAUAAUACAUUAUUUUAAAUAAUAAUACUCAGACUAAUG
rnacentral:rRNA from 1 species